rnacentral:lncRNA from 1 species
CUGACUGGACACUGAAAAAGAGGUGAAGAGAUGAGGCGAUAGAACAAAAGAACAGAAAGAUAAUGAAGCUGAGACUAAGUAAGUGAAAGCAUAAUUAUGUAUGCAGCCACAAAUGGAGCACAAAGCAAUUACUGCUUGUGGGAAUUUGAGAGAUGCUCUUUGAAGAGGUGUGAGGGAAUCAGUAAUACUUGCAGUGACUUUUAAGGAGGUGGAGUGUGCUGAUGAAGAUGCCACAAAGAACUGAUGGGAAGUUAUUCCUCUCCCCAACUGCUAUUGUAUCCUUCCUGUAGUGCUGUCUCUGCUUUUUGCAUCUUGCCCAGUAUAUUAUGACACAAAUAAAA